CCCCAAACACCUCAAGCCGAGCCUCAACGAAGAGGUCGCUACUGAGCGAUACCUCCGCGACAUUUAGCACCAGCAGGUGCUGACACCUGACAGUUCCGCUUGAUUGGACAUCGAUCUAUAUAAGCGUAUGCCGGAGCAGAGAAUUCAUCUUUCGCUCUUCGCGACGCGGUAAAAUAACUCGCGAAAAUCGGAGUAGUCGCAACUUAAAAUUGGAACAAAAGUGCUUAGAAUCGGAACAAUAUAUCCGGAGCCUUGAGAGCUCAGAUUGAGAGCUCGAAGCCCGUUGAAGCAUAGCUUCUUGAACACGAUAAAUCUGUGUACUUUCGGAGUAACUGGCGAAGAGAGAAAAAGACGUGGUAUCAUAAGUCGGACGUUAGUUUUCGUGUACUUUUCCACGAGAUUUUCUCAGGAGUCAUCGUUAUAAGCCUACUCAAUAAGUAUUCGUGUAAAUCGCGUGCGAGAAUCCUUGGAGUAUCUUCACUCAGACUGUACAAAGAAACGUGAAUAAAGUGCUUAAUGUUCUCAAGAUAGACAAUCAUAGCAGAAAUCUCUAAUCGACCGCCCUUCCAGACAAUCCAGACAAUCAGGAUUUUCACUAAGGUUCCAUCUCUAGAGCAGAAAUCCCCCCUAUACCGUGGGCAUCCUCUUUACUAGUUCGUUCAGUAUUUUCAUUUCUGAUUGUCGUAAUCAAUUAUCCCUGGGAAGAUAUGAAGAACUGAUUGCUUUAUAUUGACGAUAUUCAUCACUGUGCAAUUGAAAAUUUUCACGCCACGAGGACAUUUCGUGACUUGCCUUUGGCAUGCGGCCAAGAAUCAAGUUAUGGAAGUUAGAAGAACCGAUAUUAACAUUGAGACAAUCCUUUUAACUGGAAAAUCCUUGGAAAUUAUUUAUUCCACGAUUGUAUCAGGGAUUUGAUUACCAAAUACGCGCCCGGCCUACUACUACCAAGUGUACGCUCAUUGCUAGCUCGGCACGCGAGAAGCGGCGAUGGGCUGGCAAGCACCCCGUUCGAGUCAUGACAUCAGGUUUUUGGGAUUCCAAGGUGCCAACUUUCAGCGCUCAUGGCGCUACUACGCGCCAACAGACGAUGAACUUAUCUUUAUUUUCUUUAUUUUCUAUUUUAUGUAUUUUUGCUUUGUAUAUCAAUCUGAUGAAUCGCUUUAACGUCCGUGGCAAAGGAGAGCAUCAUAUAUCAAUAUAUCGCAUAAUAUUACAUUUAUUA